rnacentral:rRNA from 1 species
AGCGAACGCUGGCGGCAGGCCUAACACAUGCAAGUCGAACGAAGUCUUCGGACUUAGUGGCGGACGGGUGAGUAACACGUGGGAACGUACCUUUCGGUUCGGAACAACUCAGGGAAACUUGAGCUAAUACCGGAUGAGCCCUUAGGGGGAAAGAUUUAUCGCCGAAAGAGCGGCCCGCGUUAGAUUAGCUAGUUGGUGAGGUAAAGGCUCACCAAGGCUACGAUCUAUAGCUGGCCUGAGAGGAUGAUCAGCCACACUGGGACUGAGACACGGCCCAGACUCCUACGGGAGGCAGCAGUGGGGAAUCUUGCGCAAUGGGCGAAAGCCUGACGCAGCCAUGCCGCGUGAAUGAUGAAGGUCUUAGGAUUGUAAAAUUCUUUUACCAGGGACGAUAAUGACGGUACCUGGAGAAAAAGCCCCGGCUAACUUCGUGCCAGCAGCCGCCGUAAGAC